CUCCAAGGCUAAAUACUCCUGACUGACCGAUAGUGAACCAGUACCGUGAGGGAAAGGCGAAAAGAACCCCGGCGAGGGGAGUGAAAAAGAACCUGAAACCGUGUACGUACAAGCAGUGGGAGCCUCUUUUAUGGGGUGACUGCGUACCUUUUGUAUAAUGGGUCAGCGACUUAUAUUCUGUAGCAAGGUUAACCGAAUAGGGGAGCCGAAGGGAAACCGAGUCUUAACUGGGCGUUAAGUUGCAGGGUAUAGACCCGAAACCCGGUGAUCUAGCCAUGGGCAGGUUGAAGGUUGGGUAACACUAACUGGAGGACCGAACCGACUAAUGUUGAAAAAUUAGCGGAUGACUUGUGGCUGGGGGUGAAAGGCCAAUCAAACCGGGAGAUAGCUGGUUCUCCCCGAAAGCUAUUUAGGUAGCGCCUCGUGAAUUCAUCUCCGGGGGUAGAGCACUGUUUCGGCAAGGGGGUCAUCCCGACUUACCAACCCGAUGCAAACUGCGAAUACCGGAGAAUGUUAUCACGGGAGACACACGGCGGGUGCUAACGUCCGUCGUGAAGAGGGAAACAACCCAGACCGCCAGCUAAGGUCCCAAAGUCAUGGUUAAGUGGGAAACGAUGUGGGAAGGCCCAGACAGCCAGGAUGUUGGCUUAGAAGCAGCCAUCAUUUAAAGAAAGCGUAAUAGCUCACUGGUCGAGUCGGCCUGCGCGGAAGAUGUAACGGGGCUAAACCAUGCACCGAAGCUGCGGCAGCGACACUAUGUGUUGUUGGGUAGGGGAGCGUUCUGUAAGCCUGUGAAGGUGUACUGUGAGGUAUGCUGGAGGUAUCAGAAGUGCGAAUGCUGACAUAAGUAACGAUAAAGCGGGUGAAAAGCCCGCUCGCCGGAAGACCAAGGGUUCCUGUCCAACGUUAAUCGGGGCAGGGUGAGUCGACCCCUAAGGCGAGGCCGAAAGGCGUAGUCGAUGGGAAACAGGUUAAUAUUCCUGUACUUGGUGUUACUGCGAAGGGGGGACGGAGAAGGCUAUGUUGGCCGGGCGACGGUUGUCCCGGUUUAAGCGUGUAGGCUGGUUUUCCAGGCAAAUCCGGAAAAUCAAGGCUGAGGCGUGAUGACGAGGCACUACGGUGCUGAAGCAACAAAUGCCCUGCUUCCAGGAAAAGCCUCUAAGCAUCAGGUAACAUCAAAUCGUACCCCAAACCGACACAGGUGGUCAGGUAGAGAAUACCAAGGCGCUUGAGAGAACUCGGGUGAAGGAACUAGGCAAAAUGGUGCCGUAACUUCGGGAGAAGGCACGCUGAUAUGUAGGUGAAGUCCCUCGCGGAUGGAGCUGAAAUCAGUCGAAGAUACCAGCUGGCUGCAACUGUUUAUUAAAAACACAGCACUGUGCAAACACGAAAGUGGACGUAUACGGUGUGACGCCUGCCCGGUGCCGGAAGGUUAAUUGAUGGGGUCAGCGCAAGCGAAGCUCUUGAUCGAAGCCCCGGUAAACGGCGGCCGUAACUAUAACGGUCCUAAGGUAGCGAAAUUCCUUGUCGGGUAAGUUCCGACCUGCACGAAUGGCGUAAUGAUGGCCAGGCUGUCUCCACCCGAGACUCAGUGAAAUUGAACUCGCUGUGAAGAUGCAGUGUACCCGCGGCAAGACGGAAAGACCCCGUGAACCUUUACUAUAGCUUGACACUGAACAUUGAGCCUUGAUGUGUAGGAUAGGUGGGAGGCUUUGAAGUGUGGACGCCAGUCUGCAUGGAGCCGACCUUGAAAUACCACCCUUUAAUGUUUGAUGUUCUAACGUGGACCCGUGAUCCGGGUUGCGGACAGUGUCUGGUGGGUAGUUUGACUGGGGCGGUCUCCUCCUAAAGAGUAACGGAGGAGCACGAAGGUUGGCUAAUCCUGGUCGGACAUCAGGAGGUUAGUGCAAUGGCAUAAGCCAGCUUGACUGCGAGCGUGACGGCGCGAGCAGGUGCGAAAGCAGGUCAUAGUGAUCCGGUGGUUCUGAAUGGAAGGGCCAUCGCUCAACGGAUAAAAGGUACUCCGGGGAUAACAGGCUGAUACCGCCCAAGAGUUCAUAUCGACGGCGGUGUUUGGCACCUCGAUGUCGGCUCAUCACAUCCUGGGGCUGAAGUAGGUCCCAAGGGUAUGGCUGUUCGCCAUUUAAAGUGGUACGCGAGCUGGGUUUAGAACGUCGUGAGACAGUUCGGUCCCUAUCUGCCGUGGGCGCUGGAGAA
rnacentral:rRNA from 1 species